GCAAGUCUGGUGCCAGCAGCCGCGGUAAUUCCAGCUCCAAUAGCGUAUAUUAAAGUUGUUGCCGUUAAAAAGCUCGUAGUUGAACCUUGGCCCUGGCUGAUCUGUCCUCCUAAUCGAGCGCACGGAUUCGGUCGGGGCUUUCCUUCUGGGGAGCCCCAUGCCCUUCACUGGGUGUGGCGGGGAACCAGGACUUUUACCUUGAAAAAAUUAGAGUGUUCAAAGCAGGCCUUUGCUCGAAUACAUUAGCAUGGAAUAAUAGAAUAGGACAUCGGUUCUAUUUUGUUGGUUUCUAGGACCGCUGUAAUGAUUAAUAGGGACAGUCGGGGGCGUCAGUAUUCAAUUGUCAGAGGUGAAAUUCUUGGAUUUAUUGAAGACUAACUACUGCGAAAGCAUUCGCCAAGGAUGUUUUCAUUAAUCAGUGAACGAAAGUUAGGGGAUCGAAGACGAUCAGAUACCGUCGUAGUCUUAACAAUAAACUAUGCCGACUAGGGAUCGGACGGUGGUUUUUUUAUGCCCCGUUCGGCACCUUACGAGAAAUCAAAGUUUUUGGGCUCGGGGGGGAGUAUGGUCGCAAGGCUGAAACUUAAAGGAAUUGACGGAAGA
rnacentral:rRNA from 1 species